AACGAACGCUGGCGGCAUGCCUAACACAUGCAAGUCGAACGAGACCUUCGGGUCUAGUGGCGCACGGGUGCGUAACGCGUGGGAACCUGCCUUUAGGUUCGGAAUAACUCAGAGAAAUUUGAGCUAAUACCGGAUGAUGUCUUCGGACCAAAGAUUUAUCGCCGUUAGAUGGGCCCACGUUGGAUUAGCUAGUUGGUGGGGUAAAGGCCUACCAAGGCGACGAUCCAUAGCUGGUCUGAGAGGAUGAUCAGCCACACUGGGACUGGGACACGGCCCAGACUCCUACGGGAGGAAGCGGUGGGGAAUAUUGGACGAUGGGCGAAAGCCUGAUCCAGCAAUGCCGCGUGAGUGAUGAAGGCCUUAGGGUUGUAAAGCUCUUUUACCCGAGAUGAUAAUGACAGUAUCGGGAGAAUAAGCUCCGGCUAACUCCGUG
rnacentral:rRNA from 1 species